UGGUUCUGGCAUCGAUGAAGAACGCAGCGAAAUGCGAUAAGUAGUGUGAAUUGCAGAAUUCAGUGAAUCAUCGAAUCUUUGAACGCACAUUGCGCCCCUUGGUAUUCCAUGGGGCAUGCCUGUUCGAGCGUCAUUUGUACCUUCAAGCUCUGCUUGGUGUUGGGUGUUUGUCCCGCCUUUGUGCGCGGACUCGCCUUAAAGCAAUUGGCAGCCGGCGUAUAGAUUUCGGAGCGCAGCACAAUCCGCGCUUUGUACUCAUUACGACGACAUCCAUCAAGACAUUUUUUAACUCUUGACCUCGGAUCAGGUAGGGAUACCCGCUGA
rnacentral:misc_RNA from 1 species